GAGUUUGAUCGUGGCUCAGAUUGAACGCUGGCGGCAGGCCUAACACAUGCAAGUCGAGCGGAUGACGGGAGCUUGCUCCUUGAUUCAGCGGCGGACGGGUGAGUAAUGCCUAGGAAUCUGCCUGGUAGUGGGGGACAACGUUUCGAAAGGAACGCUAAUACCGCAUACGUCCUACGGGAGAAAGCAGGGGACCUUCGGGCCUUGCGCUAUCAGAUGAGCCUAGGUCGGAUUAGCUAGUUGGUGGGGUAAUGGCUCACCAAGGCGACGAUCCGUAACUGGUCUGAGAGGAUGAUCAGUCACACUGGAACUGAGACACGGUCCAGACUCCUACGGGAGGCAGCAGUGGGGAAUAUUGGACAAUGGGCGAAAGCCUGAUCCAGCCAUGCCGCGUGUGUGAAGAAGGUCUUCGGAUUGUAAAGCACUUUAAGUUGGGAGGAAGGGCAGUAAGUUAAUACCUUGCUGUUUGACGUUACCGACAGAAUAAGCACCGGCUAACUCUGUG
rnacentral:rRNA from 1 species